rnacentral:lncRNA from 1 species
UCCUUGUUCUCUAGGGGACCACGUGGUCGAAAAAACGCUUAAAAGGAGAGCACUCGCAGUGCACCACCCUUUUCCUGCACCGGUCGGCCUGCCUGGUCACGGCCGGACUGGACUACGUGCAUCGUGCGUGCUCCAGUCCGGCCGUGGCCCGGCUUUGCACUUCGCCACAUUGUGAAGACUGGGCCGCCUAAGAGCUUUUCCGUUUCCUACACGCACAAGCAUCUGAGCAACGCACCCGUAUGCUCUACCCCUGGGGUACAGAUCGACACGCAAUUAUGAGGACCUACAUUCAUCGACGCCCUCAUCCAAGCGAAGACAGCUAAACCUCUCUCAAGCACCGAGAUUGCCGAAUGGGGGAUCCUUGGCUCGCCGACUCUACGCCGCCUGAGGGUGCCUUCGCUGGUCUACAGGGGUCUUUGUCCCAGUGUUUCUGGUCUACGUUCUCGACUACCUACAAUGGACGACACAUUUUUUUU